rnacentral:misc_RNA from 1 species
GAUGAAGAACGUAGCGAAGUGCGAUAAGUAAUGUGAAUUGCAGAAUUCCGUGAAUCAUCGAAUUUUUGAACGCAAAUUGCACUCUCUGGUAUUCCGGAGAGUAUGCCUGUUUGAGGGUCAGUAAAAUAAAAAUCGAUGUUGUUGUCAAUGAUAACGCGUCGGAAUUGAGUCGUCUUACCUUUGGUUAAGUGACUUAAAAUUUUUACGCGAAUUCGAAACGUAUUUAAUGUUUAUGUACGUUUGCGAUAUUCCAAUAUUUAUUAGGUGCGGUCAUUCCUAUGAUUCGCGUCUAUAAUUUUUCAUUUCUUGACCUCAAAUCAGGUAAGAGUACCCGCUGAACUUAAGCAUAUCAAUAAGCGGAGGA